CCAAGCUACAAAGAGCCAACGGUGGAUGCCUUGGCGCCAAGAACCGAUGAAGGACGUGGGCGACUGCGAAAAGCCACGGGGAGCUGUCUACCUAGCUUCGAUCCGUGGAUGUCCGAAUGGGGAAACCCGGCACUCGUCAUGGAGUGUCACUCAGGUCUGAAUACAUAGGGCCUGUGGAGGGAACCGGGGGAAUUGAAACAUCUCAGUACCCCGAGGAAAGGAAAGCAACCGCGACUCCCUCAGUAGCGGCGAGCGAAGAGGGAAGAGACCAAACCGUGUCAGUGUCAAGCCUGGUGGCGUUGCUGACGUGGGGUUGUGGGAUCACCAGAGAGAGCACCAGAUCUCUCACAGAGUUACCAAGUUGUUGUGUAGUAGAACCGUCUGGAAAGUCGGGCCAUAGUGGGUAACAGCCCCGUACGCGAAACACACACAGCCUCUGGGUGCGAUCCCAAGUAGGGCCGGGACCGAGAAAACCGGCGUGAAUCUGCGAGGACCACCUCGUAAGUCUAAGUAUUCCUUGGCGACCGAUAGUGAACCAGUACCGUGAGGGAAAGGUGAAAAGCACCCCGGGAGGGGAGUGAAAUAGUCCCUGAAACCGUUGGUUUACAAACAGUCGAAGUGUCGUCGGCGCAAGCCGGCCACGACGGCGUGCCUUUUGAAGAAUGAGCCUGCGAGUUACGGUAUGUGGCAAGGUUAACCCGUUGAGGGGGAGCCGGAGCGAAAGCGAGUCUGAACAGGGCGUUCAGUCGCAUGCUGUAGACCCGAAGUUGAGUGAUCUAUCCAUGGUCAGGGUGAAGCGGGGGUAAGACCCCGUGGAGGCCCGAACACACGUCAGUUGAAAAUGGCGGUGAUGAACUGUGGAUAGGGGUGAAAGGCCAAACAAACUCAGCGAUAGCUGGUUCUCCUCGAAAUGCAUUUAGGUGCAGCGUCGUGCGUUCAGUACCGGAGGUAGAGCACUGGAUGGGCUAGGGGACCUACAAGUUUACCGAACCCAGCCAAACUCCGAAUGCCGGUACUCCAGAGCACGGCAGUGAGUCCACGGGGGAUGAGCUUCGUUGGACGAAAGGGAAACAGCCCAGAUCAUCAGCUAAGGCCCCUAAUUCAGGACUAAGUGGAAAACGAUGUGGGAUUGCACAGACAGCCAGGAGGUUGGCUUAGAAGCAGCCACCCUUAAAAGAGUGCGUAACAGCUCACUGGUCGAGUGAUCCUGCGCGGACAAUUCAACGGGGCUCAAGUCCUGAGCCGAAGCUAUGGGUUCGUACGCAAGUACGAGCGGUAGAGGAGCGUCGAUGGUGCUGCGAAGCGGCGGGAGAACCCGACGUGGAGCGCCAUCGAGUGAGAAUGCAGGCAUGAGUAGCGAGAGAGGGGUGAGAAACCCCUCCGCCGAAAGCCCAAGGGUUCCUGGGGAAGGCUAAUCCUCCCAGGGUGAGUCGGGAGCUAAGACGAGGCCGCGAGGCGUAGUCGAUGCACAACUGGUUGAUAUUCCAGUACCACCGUGUACGCGUCCAGCCCAAGAUUCGCAACAUGGGGGCUGUCCUUCGGGACGAUCCCAUCGCGCGGGUGGCGGGUAACUGAAGGGGGACGCAGAAGGGUAGAUGAACCGGAGCGAUGGUUGUCUCCGGGUAAGCGUGUAGGAGGGUCCUGAUGAGAGUUAGGGCCGCAACUCUGAGGCGUGACGCCGAGUCGCAACAGACGAAGUCAUUGAUCCCAUGCUGCCAAGAAAAUCCCAGCAGUGAGUAGACACGGUGCCCGUACCCCAAACCGACACAGGUGGGCGGGUAGAGAAUACCGAGGCGAUCGGGAGAACUGUAGUUAAGGAACUCGGCAAAUUACCUCCGUAACUUCGGAAGAAGGAGGACCCAAGUACCGUGAAGGCCUUGCGCCGUAAGCGGGAGUGGGUGGCACAGACCAGGGGGUAGCGACUGUUUACCAAAAACACAGCAGCGUGCGAAGCCGCAAGGCGCUGUAUACGCUGUGACGCCUGCCCAAUGCUGGAAGGUCACGGGGAACGGUUAGUCGAAAGACGAAGCUGUGAACCUAAGCCCCAGUGAAUGGCGGCCGUAACUAUAACGGUCCUAAGGUAGCGAAAUUCCUUGUCGGGUAAGUUCCGACCUGCACGAAUGGCGUAACGACUUCCCCACUGUCUCAACUACAGACCCGGCGAAAUUGAAGUACGAGUAAAGAUGCUCGUUUGCUGCGGAAGGACGGAAAGACCCCAUGGACCUUUACUACAACUUGGUGUUGAGCUUUGUUCUGCGUUGUGUAGGAUAGGUGGGAGACUUGGAAGCGGUGGCGCCAGCCAUCGUGGAGUCAUUGUUGAAAUACCACCCUGCGUACAACGGGGCUCUAACCUGGGUCCGUAAUCCGGAUCAGGAACAGCGCCAGGCGGGUAGUUUGACUGGGGCGGUCGCCUCCUAAAACGUAACGGAGGCGCCCAAAGGUUCCCUCAGGCUGGUUGGCAAUCAGCCGUCGAGUGCAAUGACAAAAGGGAGCUUGACUGCGAGACUGACAGGUCAAGCAGGCGCGAAAGCGGGGCAUAGUGACCCGGCCAUGGCUUGUGGAAGCGUGGUCGCUCAACGGAUAAAAGGUACCCUGGGGAUAACAGGCUAAUCUUUCCCAAGAGUCCAUAUCGACGGAAAGGUUUGGCACCUCGAUGUCGGCUCAUCGCAUCCUGGGGCUGAAGCAGGUCCCAAGGGUUGGGCUGUUCGCCCAUUAAAGCGGUACGUGAGCUGGGUUCAGAACGUCGUGAGACAGUUCGGUCCCUAUCCUCCGCAGCCGAAGGAGUGUUGAGGAAGGCUGUCCCUAGUACGAGAGGACCGGGACGGACGUAGCUCUGGUGUGUCUGUUGUCCUGCCAAGGGCACGGCAGAUUAGCCACCUACGGAAGGGAUAACCGCUGAAAGCAUCUAAGCGGGAAGCCCGUUCCAAGAUGAGCACUCCCAUGCGGUUAACGCAGUAAGGCCCGUGACGAGACCAUCACGUUGAUAGGCCGGAGGUGGAAGCGUGGUAACACGUGUAGCCGACCGGUACUAAUCGGCCGAGGGCUUGGUUAAACA
rnacentral:rRNA from 2 species